rnacentral:rRNA from 1 species
GAUGAACGCUGGCGGCGUGCUUAACACAUGCAAGUCGAACGAAGCACUUUAUUUUAUUUCCUUCGGGACUGAUUAUUUUGUGACUGAGUGGCGUACGGGUGAGUAACGCGAGGGUAACCUGCCUUGUACAGGGGGAUAACAGUUGGAAACAGCUGCUAAUACCGCAUAAGCGCACAUCGUCGCAUGAUGCAGUGUGGAAAACUCCGGUGGGAUAAGAUGGAGCCGCGUUGGAUUAGCUAGUUGGUGGGGUAACGGCCCACCAAGGCGACGAUCCAUAGCCGAGAUGAGAGGGUGACCGGCCACAUUGGGAAUGAGACACAGCCCAAACUCGGAGGCGAGGCAGCAGUGGGGAAUAUUGCAGAAUGGGGGAAAGCCUGAUGCAGCGACGCGGCGUGAGCGAAGAAGUAGUUCGGUAUGUAAAGCUCUAUCAGAAGAGAAGAUAAUGACGGUACCUGAUUAAGAAGCACCGGCUAACUACGUG